rnacentral:sRNA from 1 species
GUCAACCACCUCCGGCAAGGCCGGAGGCUUGCGGGAGGAUACCGUAAGCCUCGGGUUGACUAGCCCAAGUCUUUUGGAGACUACGUUGGUAUGGUGAACACACCCCGGAGUAUAGCCCGAGCUCCG